rnacentral:rRNA from 1 species
AAUGAACGCUGGCGGCAGGCCUAACACAUGCAAGUCGAGCGAGGACUUCGGUCCUAGCGGCGGACGGGUGAGUAACGCGUGGGAAUAUGCCCUUUGGUACGGAAUAGCCUCGGGAAACUGGGAGUAAUACCGUAUGUGCCCUUCGGGGGAAAGAUUUAUCGCCAAAGGAUUAGCCCGCGUUGGAUUAGGUAGUUGGUGGGGUAAUGGCCUACCAAGCCGACGAUCCAUAGCUGGUUUGAGAGGAUGAUCAGCCACACUGGGACUGAGACACGGCCCAGACUCCUACGGGAGGCAGCAGUGGGGAAUCUUAGACAAUGGGCGCAAGCCUGAUCUAGCCAUGCCGCGUGAUCGAUGAAGGCCUUAGGGUUGUAAAGAUCUUUCAGAUGGGAAGAUAAUGACGGUACCAUCAGAAGAAGCCCCGGCUAACUCCGUG